GAUGGAGAACGGCAGCGAAAUGCGAUACGUAAUGUGAAUUGCAGAAUUCAGUGAAUCAUCGAGUCUUUGAACGCACAUUGCGCCCCCUGGUAUUCCGGGGGGCAUGCCUGUCCGAGCGUCAUUGCUGCCCUCAAGCACGGCUUGUGUGUUGGGCCUCCGUCCUCCUCCCGGGGGACGGGCCCGAAAGGCAGCGGCGGCACCGCGUCCGGUCCUCGAGCGUAUGGGGCUUCGUCACCCGCUCUUGUAGGCCCGGCCGGCGCUUGCCGACACAUCAAUCUUUUUUCCAGGUUGACCUCGGAUCAGGUAGGGAUACCCGCUGAACUUAAGCAUAUCAAUAAGCGGAGGA
rnacentral:misc_RNA from 1 species